rnacentral:rRNA from 1 species
CCGCGGUAAUACGAAGGGGGCUAGCGUUGCUCGGAAUCACUGGGCGUAAAGGGCGCGUAGGCGGCGUUUUAAGUCGGGGGUGAAAGCCUGUGGCUCAACCACAGAAUGGCCUUCGAUACUGGGACGCUUGAGUAUGGUAGAGGUUGGUGGAACUGCGAGUGUAGAGGUGAAAUUCGUAGAUAUUCGCAAGAACACCGGUGGCGAAGGCGGCCAACUGGACCAUUACUGACGCUGAGGCGCGAAAGCGUGGGGAGCAAACAGGAUUA